CUACGGGUCGCUGCAGUGGGGAAUAUUGCACAAUGGGGGAAACCCUGAUGCAGCAACGCCGCGUGGAGGAUGACGCAUUUCGGUGUGUAAACUCCUUUUAUAUCCCAAGAUAAUGACGGUAGGAUAUGAAUAAGCACCGGCUAACUCCGUGCCAGCAGCCGCGGUAAUACGGAGGGUGCAAGCGUUACUCGGAAUCACUGGGCGUAAAGGAUGCGUAGGCUGGAAGUCAAGUCAUAAGUGAAAUCCCACGGCUCAACCGUGGAACUGCUUGUGAAACUGGCUUUCUAGAAUGUGGGAGAGGUAGAUGGAAUUAGUGGUGUAGGGGUAAAAUCCGUAGAGAUCACUAGGAAUACCGAUUGCGAAGGCGAUCUACUGGAACACUAUUGACGCUGAGGCAUGAAAGCGUGGGGAGCAAACAGGAUUAGAUACCCCGGUAGUC
rnacentral:rRNA from 1 species